UACAGAGGGGGCGAGCGUUGUUCGGAAUUACUGGGCGUAAAGGGCGCGUAGGCGGUCUGCUAAGUUGGAUGUGAAAACUCUGGGCUUAACCCAGAGCCUGCAUUCAAUACUGACAGGCUAGAGUUCUGGAGGGGAUAGCGGAAUUCCUGGUGUAGCGGUGAAAUGCGUAGAUAUCAGGAGGAACACCGGUGGCGAAGGCGGCUAUCUGGACAGAGUCUGACGCUGAGGCGCGAAAGCUAGGGGAGCAAACAGG
rnacentral:rRNA from 1 species